GGAUGCGAUCAUACCAGCACUAAAGCACCGGAUCACAUCAGAACUCCGAAGUUAAGCGUGCUUGGGCGAGAGUAGUACUAGGAUGGGUGACCUCCUGGGAAGUCCUCAUGUUGCAUUCC
rnacentral:rRNA from 1 species